UACGUAGGGGGCAAGCGUUGUCCGGAUUUAUUGGGCGUAAAGAGCGUGUAGGCGGCCAUACAGGUCAGCUGUGAAAACUCGAGGCUCAACCUCGAGACGUCGGUUGAAACCGUAUGGCUAGAGUCCGGAAGAGGAGAGUGGAAUUCCCGGUGUAGCGGUGAAAUGCGUAGAGAUCGGAAAGAACACCAACGGCGAAAGCACUCUGCUGGGCCGGCACUGACACUGAGAGACGAAAGCUAGGGGAGCGAAUGGG
rnacentral:rRNA from 1 species